AGAGUUUGAUCAUGGCUCAGGAUGAACGCUGGCGGCGUGCCUAAUACAUGCAAGUCGAACGAGGUUAGAUUCGUCUAACCUAGUGGCGAACGGGUGAGUAACACGUAGGUAACCUGCCCUUCAGUUGGGAAUACCUAGAGGAAACUUUAGUUAAUACCGAAUAAUUACGAGGAAGGCAUCUUCCUUUUAUAAAAGUAGCAAUUGCUACGCUGAUGGAUGGACCUGCGGCGCAUUAGCUAGUUGGUAGGGUAACGGCCUACCAAGGCUCGGAUGCGUAGCCGACCUGAGAGGGUGAUCGGCCACAAUGGGACUGAGACACGGCCCAUACUCCUACGGGAGGCAGCAGUAGGGAGUUUUCGGCAAUGGGGGGAACCCUGACCGAGCAACGCCGCGUGAACGAUGAAGGUCUUCGGAUCGUAAAGUUCUGUUGUAGCUAGGGAAAGCACGGGAGAGUGGAAAGCUCUCGUUUUGACCCAACUACCAGAAAGCCACGGCUAACUACGUGCCAGCAGCCGCGGUAAUACGUAGGUGGCAAGCGUUAUCCGGAAUUAUUGGGCGUAAAGAGUGAGCAGGCGGCCGUUUAAGUCUGAAGUCAAAUGCAGUGGCUUAACCACUGUCCGCUUUGGAAACUGGAUGGCUAGAGUACGAGAGAAGUAAGCGGAAUUCCAUGUGUAGCGGUGAAAUGCGUAGAUAUAUGGAGGAACACCAGAGGCGAAGGCGGCUUACUAGAUCGAUACUGACGCUCAGUCACGAAAGCGUGGGUAGCAAAUAGGAUUAGAUACCCUAGUAGUCCACGCCGUAAACGAUGAGAACUAGGUGUAGGGCCAAACCCUGUGCCGAAGCUAACGCAUUAAGUUCUCCGCCUGGGGAGUACGUUCGCAAGAAUGAAACUUAAAGGAAUUGACGG
rnacentral:rRNA from 1 species